UCUCCUGUUAAUUGAUUCGCCAGGGAACGGUUGUCGGCCCCCUCGUUAACGAGCCUCCUCCGCUAAUCGCGGAUACUGCGCUUUCAGGACACGGACGAGUCCGUUCCUCUUUGCGAUUAGACAGUCUGUGGACGACACGACACGAUAUUGCUGGAUUAGCAGAUACUGCAAAAAUUGCGACAAUUCUUCCGUAUGUAAUUCUUCGCUUUGCUAUUUGAGGAAAAUGGGAGAGUGGAGGAGGAACGAUGGUUCGAGAAACGAUGG